rnacentral:rRNA from 3 species
UAAGCGACUAAGCGUACACGGUGGAUGCCCUGGCAGUCAGAGGCGAUGAAGGACGUGCUAAUCUGCGAUAAGCGUCGGUGAGGUGAUAUGAACCGUUAUAACCGGCGAUUUCCGAAUGGGGAAACCCAGUGUGUUUCGACACACUAUCAUUAACUGAAUCCAUAGGUUAAUGAGGCGAACCGGGGGAACUGAAACAUCUAAGUACCCCGAGGAAAAGAAAUCAACCGAGAUUCCCCCAGUAGCGGCGAGCGAACGGGGAGGAGCCCAGAGCCUGAAUCAGUGUGUGUGUUAGUGGAAGCGUCUGGAAAGGCGUGCGAUACAGGGUGACAGCCCCGUACACAAAAAUGCACAUAUUGUGAGCUCGAUGAGUAGGGCGGGACACGUGGUAUCCUGUCUGAAUAUGGGGGGACCAUCCUCCAAGGCUAAAUACUCCUGACUGACCGAUAGUGAACCAGUACCGUGAGGGAAAGGCGAAAAGAACCCCGGCGAGGGGAGUGAAAAAGAACCUGAAACCGUGUACGUACAAGCAGUGGGAGCCUCUUAAUGGGGUGACUGCGUACCUUUUGUAUAAUGGGUCAGCGACUUAUAUUCUGUAGCAAGGUUAACCGAAUAGGGGAGCCGAAGGGAAACCGAGUCUUAACUGGGCGUUAAGUUGCAGGGUAUAGACCCGAAACCCGGUGAUCUAGCCAUGGGCAGGUUGAAGGUUGGGUAACACUAACUGGAGGACCGAACCGACUAAUGUUGAAAAAUUAGCGGAUGACUUGUGGCUGGGGGUGAAAGGCCAAUCAAACCGGGAGAUAGCUGGUUCUCCCCGAAAGCUAUUUAGGUAGCGCCUCGUGAAUUCAUCUCCGGGGGUAGAGCACUGUUUCGGCAAGGGGGUCAUCCCGACUUACCAACCCGAUGCAAACUGCGAAUACCGGAGAAUGUUAUCACGGGAGACACACGGCGGGUGCUAACGUCCGUCGUGAAGAGGGAAACAACCCAGACCGCCAGCUAAGGUCCCAAAGUCAUGGUUAAGUGGGAAACGAUGUGGGAAGGCCCAGACAGCCAGGAUGUUGGCUUAGAAGCAGCCAUCAUUUAAAGAAAGCGUAAUAGCUCACUGGUCGAGUCGGCCUGCGCGGAAGAUGUAACGGGGCUAAACCAUGCACCGAAGCUGCGGCAGCGACACUAUGUGUUGUUGGGUAGGGGAGCGUUCUGUAAGCCUGUGAAGGUGGCCUGUGAGGGUUGCUGGAGGUAUCAGAAGUGCGAAUGCUGACAUAAGUAACGAUAAAGCGGGUGAAAAGCCCGCUCGCCGGAAGACCAAGGGUUCCUGUCCAACGUUAAUCGGGGCAGGGUGAGUCGACCCCUAAGGCGAGGCCGAAAGGCGUAGUCGAUGGGAAACAGGUUAAUAUUCCUGUACUUGGUGUUACUGCGAAGGGGGGACGGAGAAGGCUAUGUUGGCCGGGCGACGGUUGUCCCGGUUUAAGCGUGUAGGCUGGUUUUCCAGGCAAAUCCGGAAAACCAAGGCUGAGGCGUGAUGACGAGGCACUACGGUGCUGAAGCGACAAAUGCCCUGCUUCCAGGAAAAGCCUCUAAGCAUCAGGUAACAUCAAAUCGUACCCCAAACCGACACAGGUGGUCAGGUAGAGAAUACCAAGGCGCUUGAGAGAACUCGGGUGAAGGAACUAGGCAAAAUGGUGCCGUAACUUCGGGAGAAGGCACGCUGAUAUGUAGGUGAAGCGACUUGCUCGUGGAGCUGAAAUCAGUCGAAGAUACCAGCUGGCUGCAACUGUUUAUUAAAAACACAGCACUGUGCAAACACGAAAGUGGACGUAUACGGUGUGACGCCUGCCCGGUGCCGGAAGGUUAAUUGAUGGGGUUAGCGGUAACGCGAAGCUCUUGAUCGAAGCCCCGGUAAACGGCGGCCGUAACUAUAACGGUCCUAAGGUAGCGAAAUUCCUUGUCGGGUAAGUUCCGACCUGCACGAAUGGCGUAAUGAUGGCCAGGCUGUCUCCACCCGAGACUCAGUGAAAUUGAACUCGCUGUGAAGAUGCAGUGUACCCGCGGCAAGACGGAAAGACCCCGUGAACCUUUACUAUAGCUUGACACUGAACAUUGAGCCUUGAUGUGUAGGAUAGGUGGGAGGCUUUGAAGUGUGGACGCCAGUCUGCAUGGAGCCGACCUUGAAAUACCACCCUUUAAUGUUUGAUGUUCUAACGUUGGCCCGUAAUCCGGGUUGCGGACAGUGUCUGGUGGGUAGUUUGACUGGGGCGGUCUCCUCCUAAAGAGUAACGGAGGAGCACGAAGGUUGGCUAAUCCUGGUCGGACAUCAGGAGGUUAGUGCAAUGGCAUAAGCCAGCUUGACUGCGAGCGUGACGGCGCGAGCAGGUGCGAAAGCAGGUCAUAGUGAUCCGGUGGUUCUGAAUGGAAGGGCCAUCGCUCAACGGAUAAAAGGUACUCCGGGGAUAACAGGCUGAUACCGCCCAAGAGUUCAUAUCGACGGCGGUGUUUGGCACCUCGAUGUCGGCUCAUCACAUCCUGGGGCUGAAGUAGGUCCCAAGGGUAUGGCUGUUCGCCAUUUAAAGUGGUACGCGAGCUGGGUUUAGAACGUCGUGAGACAGUUCGGUCCCUAUCUGCCGUGGGCGCUGGAGAACUGAGGGGGGCUGCUCCUAGUACGAGAGGACCGGAGUGGACGCAUCACUGGUGUUCGGGUUGUCAUGCCAAUGGCACUGCCCGGUAGCUAAAUGCGGAAGAGAUAAGUGCUGAAAGCAUCUAAGCACGAAACUUGCCCCGAGAUGAGUUCUCCCUGACUCCUUGAGGGUCCUGAAGGAACGUUGAAGACGACGACGUUGAUAGGCCGGGUGUGUAAGCGCAGCGAUGCGUUGAGCUAACCGGUACUAAUGAACCGUGAGGCUUAACCU